rnacentral:lncRNA from 1 species
GUGGUAGUAUAUUUUUUUAUUAUACCUAAUUCACAUGUAUACCUUUCUUCUAUUAUAAGAUAGAUGACAGUGUAAAUGAUUUUGAACUGCAUGGUUACAAUUUCGGUAGUUGAUCGGUAGUGAUCUGUAGGUUGAGUACCUGAUCGCAUUUGAAUAUUUGCGCAAUUAUGAAUUUGAGGAAAUGUAUGGGUUUUAACUAAG